rnacentral:rRNA from 1 species
UACAGAGGGUGCAAGCGUUGUUCGGAAUUAUUGGGCGUAAAGGGAGUGUAGGCGGUUUGAUAAGUCUUCUGUGAAAUCUACGGGCUUAGCCUGUAACGUGCAGAGGAAACUGUCAGACUUGAGUGUCGGAGAGGAUAGGGGAAUACCCAGUGUAGAGGUGAAAUUCGUAGAUAUCUGAAGGAACAUCAGUGGCGAAAGCGACUUCCUGGACCAAUACUGACGCUCAUGUGCGAAAGCGUGGGGAGCAAACAGG